GACGAACGCUGGCGGCGUGCUUAACACAUGCAAGUCGAACGGAAAGGCCCUGCUUUUGUGGGGUGCUCGAGUGGCGAACGGGUGAGUAACACGUGAGUAACCUGCCCUUGACUUUGGGAUAACUUCAGGAAACUGGGGCUAAUACCGGAUAGGAGCUCCGGCUGCAUGGUGGGGGGUGGAAAGUUUCGGCGGUUGGGGAUGGACUCGCGGCUUAUCAGCUUGUUGGUGGGGUAGUGGCUUACCAAGGCUUUGACGGGUAGCCGGACUGAGAGGGUGACCGGCCACAUUGGGACUGAGAUGCGGCCCAGACUCAUACGGGAGGCAGCAGUGGGGAAUAUUGCACGAUGGGCGGCAGCCUGAUGCAGCAACGCCGCGUGCGGGAUGACGGCCUUCGGGUUGUAAACCGCUUUCGCCUGUGACGAAGCGUGAGUGACGGUAAUGGGUAAAGAAGCACCGGCUAACUACGUG
rnacentral:rRNA from 1 species